AUGACCCUGUCUAUGCUUCAUAGCCAAAACAUAAUCUUCUUUUGGUUAUUUGAUUUUCUUCAAGGAUCUGUCCCCUCAUGCUCCUCUUAUUGCCUCAAUAAAGUUUGGCCUUGUGGCAACUCACAAGGACAUACCUUGACAAUAGUUAUUUCAAAAAGAGAGGCAAAAGCAUCGCAUGAUAUAUAUCAUUUCAUAUAUCAUGGCAGGAAAAACACAUUGUGGUGGUCGCCCUUAGCUACGACGAUGUGCAUUCCUUGGCACCGGGAAUUGGCCUGGGAGGAGAGGAGGGGGCGAGUGACACCAGGGAGGAAAGGAGAGAUGGCGGCGAGAGGAAGGUGUGGGAUGAAUGACAUGGCAUCGAGGGGAAGCGACAGCAAGAAACCGUGGCGGGGAGAGAUGGCGGCGAGGACGCCGUGA
rnacentral:rRNA from 1 species